UGUCUCUGUCUCUCUCUCUCUCUUUUUCUGUGUCUCUCCCUUUCCAUGUCUGUCUGUCCGUCUCUCUUUCUCUUUAUUUUCUCCUCUCUCCCUCUCUUUCUCGGUACCUGUCUCUCUCUGUGUCUCCUCUCGUCUCUUCUCCUCUUUGUUUCUCUCUCUCUCUCUUUCUCGGUACCUCUCUCCCUCUAUCUCCUCUCCUCUCUUCUCUCUCUCUCCCUCUCUCUCUUUCUCUGUAUUUUCUCC
rnacentral:lncRNA from 1 species